rnacentral:lncRNA from 1 species
UGAGUUCUUACAUAUCAUUGUAAUGUUUUUUGAGAGAUAGAUAGCAUGCUACUCGCUUCGUUUAUUUCAUUUAGAAAUAAACUUAGCUGGAAAUGUGAAUCAACUUAGGAUUCGAACUUGGGUCUCGGAUACCAACCAUCAAGCCCUUUGCCACUACAUACAGUUUCUAUAAAUAUAGCGAAUUAUAAAUGUAUGCUUAUAAAGUUCAACUUCCUUAUAUUAUUUCUAUAAAAAUUUUAAUAUUUUCAAAUAUGCCAAUGUUAUUAGAAUUUGUUAGAAAAUUUUAGUUAACCAUAGAAAAACACUUAACCCUGAUUAGCCAAUAAAAUAAAUUGAUAUUUUUAUACCUCUGAUAUUAUAUCUUAUUCUCUCUCCUCUCGAGGCACCGUUUGGAUAGGGGAUAGGGGAUAGGGAUAGGGAUAGGGAUAGGGAUAACCCCUUAUCCCCCUUUAUACCAAAACACUAAUUUUUUAUUCGAGAAUAGUAGUUCUCGGUUACUUAUAAUAACCGGGUAUAACUAUCUCCACCAACACCUCCAUUUUCUAUAUAAAACUAUCCACUAUUUUUCUUAUUUCAUAUUAUCUAUCCAAACGCUACUUUUCUUAUCCCCGAGAACAACCCAAUUUUCAUCCAAACACUAUUUUCUUAUCCCCAUACUUGUACAUAUCCCUGUAAUAGCUAGUUCUUACUUAUACCCGAAUCAAACACUACCAUUUAUAAAAAUCCAGCAAUGGAUUCUCUUUUUCUUCAUCUUCGUCUUUCUUUUUCUCCUGCAUGCUAGUUUCGAAUCCAUAACUAAAAUUUCUCCAUCCCAUUCAUCCAUGACACAUGUUAUUUCGCCCAUUCGAACAUGUGUUGCUUCCCCAUUUAAUUUACUCUAUGAUUAAAUUUUUUUGCUAAAAAAAUUUUAGGAGAAAAGAAGUGAGAGAAGAGGUUAUAACAAUGGUGGAUUGAAUUUGAUUUUAAAGAGAGAAAAGAUAACCACUGAAAAUUUUUUAGGAAAAUAUUUCUGCACGAUUAUAACAGUUGGGCUUUUGAAGGGACAUAUUUGUGAUGAUAAAAUUGAUAUUUUACUUAUCUGCUGUUAAAAAAUAAAUAGUUUUCUAAUGGUAACAAAUCAGACGGACAAGUAUGAAUAUCACUGAACUUUUGCAGGAAUAAUAAUUAAAAAUUGAACUUUGUAAGGUUAUAUUUACAAUUCGCUAUGUUUAGAGAAAGCUGUAUGCAAUUAACUUUUUCAUAAACUACUAGUAUAUUAGUUAGCAUUUAUAGCAUUCUUAGUUUGUACAUGUAUGAACCAGGUAAAAUUUUUAUGUUCGAAAUUUUUGAUAGAACUAAUAUGUAAAUUUGAAUUAAAUUGAAAAAAAAUAAUUAAAUAAUGCUAGAAUCGAAUU